AUUUUUAAAAAACAGAGCUUGGGAGGACUGGACUUGGGAGGAAGAUUUUUUAUUUUAAGGCCUUAACGUGAUGAGUUUGCAUUCUCCUGGAUUCAGACAAGCUCUAUUAGCAGGAAACCAGUGUUUACUUUGAAGAUGGCAUAGCGAGGCUCGAAAGCAGAGACAGCAGGAAGGCUGGAUGACGAAGCCUGAGGCCUGAGGACG